ensembl:lncRNA
CGGUUUCCCGUGUGGAAUGGUUUUUGGCAAUGGCCCACAAUAGUUUCAAUCAGGAGAGGCGAGUCACCGAAAAGAAAAGAUAAUAGCUCAUUACAAACAGAUGAGUGUUAUGAUGAAGUUUCCACAGGGGCUUUGGCACGGUGAGAUUUGUAAUCGAGGGGCGUCUGCCCUGACGAGAAGCAAGAUAAAUCCCCCCGUUGGAGACUCGUGGUGGCGGCUGAUGAGGCUGACAGACCGAUGAGUUGAUGAAGCUGAUAGAGAUUUGGCAGAGACGGGACGGCAGAGGGAGCAUGCCUGGUCAGUGUGACUCACCCUGCAGAGAUAUGCUGCUACAGGACUCCUCCACCAGGUCAAAGCACGCAGCCUUUAAUCCCUUGAUAGUGUUAUAAUUAAACCUCCUACCACCGACCAUUUAUGUGUAUUAUAACACAUACUAACUGCUAAUAACACUCUUUAAUCUAGCUGUAAGCCAGUAAAACAAUUACGGUGCUUAUUAAUGUGCGGGAAAUCAAUAUAAGGAUUCAUUAACUGGUGUUUUUGUUGUCAGCAUUACGAAUUCUUCGAAUGGGGGGAUGUAUUGUUAUUAUUCGUCGAAAGGCCUCCUCCUAGUGCUCCUCUUUUCUCCAGCCUUCUCCAGCAUUCACCUUUCCUGCCUGCCUUUUAAGUUUUAAUGACAAACGUGUCAGCAAAACGCUCAUUUAGCCAUUACAAAUCAACCAAGGCAUUCCUUUGGAGACAAGUUUGCGGUCAUCAGAUUAAUCUAAGUUACUCUCUUUCAGAACACAGUCUUUGUUCUCUUCCAACUCCUGAGGAAAAUCUCUGGUUCGUGAGUUACUAACCGCAAUCACACCGGACCCGUUUGUUCACAACUACCCACCUGGGGUGAAAUGAAGUCCAGCCACUCACCGCUGCAGCUGGAAGCUGAUGGUGGAAGAAGCAAGGAAGGAAGUACGCCUUAAGUUCUGGGUGGAAAGGGUAAAGAGCAAUUUGAGGAAUCGUCUCAUAUUUUGAGGAAUUUCAACUCCUGCACCAUCACUGCCUGCUACGGGUUCAUUACCAAGCUAGACCAUAAAACCCUGCAAAGCGUGGAACACGUGGGCAGUGCACAAUCUUGCUGAUCUAUAAUCCAUAACUCUAUGUGCCAUCAGUUUCCCAUCUGUAAAGUUUUGGCUGAAAAAAGACCUGUGUGAACCUCAACUUCAGCUCCCGCAUUGACAUGAUUCAUCUUUGAUGGGCCUGUCAGUUUCUGGGCAUGGAUCUCAAAAUGUUUCUUACACUUGUGUUGUAAUCCUACUGCAAAAAACAGCCUCACUCAUUGACAACUUUUAUCAGUUUUAUUGGAGGCUUUACCUGGUUUUUCCAACUUGGAAGCGGACCAACUUGAUUAUUUAUUACCCAGACUUCAUCUCCUUGUUCGUUAUAGCACUCAAUCUCACAGUUCACCUGCCAUCAGGUUCAAUGAGUUGUUUCUGAGGUGCAUCCUGAAGGCACCAUUUCCAGAUCUUUGUCACGCACGCUGUUCUCCACCAUUCGGCCUGAACGUUACGGUCACCCUCUUUCUUCCUUUCAUCCACAG